rnacentral:misc_RNA from 1 species
ACGAGUUAGGGUCUCACUGGCCCGACCUCCCAACCCUUUGUCUACUUGACCAUCGUUGCUUCGGCGAGCCCGUCCUUAUGGACCGCCGGGGGGCCCUAAGCCCUCUGGCCCGCGCUCGUCGACAGCCCCCAUAAAUUUAAAAUCUUUUUUAAACACUGUCUUGAAUCUAAGUAUUUAUUGUUAAAUAAAAAAA